UCAAAGAAUCGGGUUUUGUCACACUGCGUCUGGUGCUCUCAACGACUUGUCAAACAAUAAAUGCUUGAAUAUCUUCAAAGUAUGCUUUUAUUUCUCUUUUGUAAAACUUGUUAACGUUGUUACGUAGCUGGCUGGUUGGCUGGCUGUCACAUGUCAGCUUUUCGUCUGAUCCAAUCUAAUCCACAUCCAGCCAACCGAGUGGCAAACCAUCCAGUUAUGCACAAAAAUAUAAAUCGAUCUGCCCAUUGCUAUUUUUGUCAUAUUGAUCAUGUCCGUCGCACAUUACACACAAUUUAUACCCUGCUUUGAACAGGUUUAAAUCAAAAAUGACUCAACCAGCUACUGACUGGCACAAAAAACCUUACACAAGUUUUGUUUCAAAGCUAUUGGUCUGAAUUAAAACCAGAGUGGCUGAUGUAAUGUUGACGAUGCGUUAAUUUUUCCAGUAAUUUAUUCACAUUUGAUUUAUUACUAUCAACAUGGGAUGCAAUGGACUUCUGGCUUUUAAACUCUUAUUUUUUGUGAACAGUUGCACGAGAGUAGAUGCAGACAAUCAGAGAAGUGCAUUUCAUUAUAAUUGACGUGUACAGUUAAGUAAUAAGAGAACUGGUAGCAGAGAUUCAUCAGCUGCACGGACUGGAGUAAAUAGGAGUAGUUCCUUCCAGCUUCCAACCAACCAAAUCAGUAGCUGAAUCCAUCCACACGAGAAGAAGUGCAUACGUACAUAUUUCCUACAACGUAUUGCUGGAAGGGCCUUCAAUCAACAUCUCACUGGAUACCAGCUCCUCGUUUUUUAUUGAUUUAUUAAUUUAUUCCUGCUUUCACAACGCGUAGGAGCGUUCUCUCUCUCUGCUGAUAACUCGCAUUUUUAAUGUGGAUGGUUGGAUGGAGAUGAUGCUUUCCUUGGUCGGCGUGCUAGUCGAUGCAAUGCAAUGCAUCCCUUCGCCAUCAACACGGUUUCACCUUCCCUCAAGGCACGUAAUGAAAUGGAAAUUAAAACAGCCUUUGUUGCCCAAUGAAAUAUUUCCAGUUGUAUUAACAAAAACAAUUAUUUAGGUAAAUUCAAUUCCACUAUUUGUUUUUUAUGGACUCCAUUUACACUUUAUGCACAUGAGGAAAGAUUUAUGUAUCGUAUGAAAAUUGCGAGCUAUUAAUUGAACGGACUUGGAGUAGUGCAGUGGGUUGGAGGCCAAAAGGUGAAAGGAGGACUGUCGGAGAUGGAUUGUUUAUGCGCCAUGAACACACGUCACAAUUUCUAAAGCCGUCGGAUGGAUGACAAAUGCACACAACAGAUCGACAGUGGCAAAUGCACGCGAGUGGAAGGAGGAAUGCAACAAGUUUUGUGAUCCCAGAAAUACAGAAUUUAUGUAACUGCACAUCACAAACUCGCUCCAUGUUGUCAAUUUUUAUGAGGUGAAACUUUUAGUGACAAUUGAACGACGCUGAUUCAGUUGGGAACUGGGAAAAGGAAUCUAAAUUCUUGGAAAAUUUGAUUGGAAAAAAUAUGGCAGGUUGAUUAUAUAGGUCAAAGUUACUCAAACUUUUGUAAAUAAAUUGUAACGUGGAAGAGAAAAUACUAAAAAUUCGAAUCAGCAGCAAAGUGGAACAGCAACGGCUAUGCAACAAAUGUUUCGUAAUUCUCACCGUCUGUGAAAGCAUAUUUUUAUGAAUGUUUACUAAUGUUCAUGCCAGGACGAAAUCACAGUUUAAACAAUAAAUAAUAAAAUGUAGGAAUUAUAAUCCCCGAAAAUGUCCGUGCACAUACAUAUUAAUAUGUGCAUACAAAAUUACGUGCAUACAUCCAGCGUCAAGGUUUACACGUUCUAAAUAAACUGCGACUAAAGUAACGUGAACUUUGGACAAUCUUCACGGUGAUUAUCACGGCCUGUGGAUUAGAAGAAAGAAAGAAAUUCUGGUGGAACGAGUCGUGAUCAUUAAUGGUAAAAUUUU